AUGGUAACUCAAACAAUGAACUAUAGAUUACUUACCUAUCUUGUUGUUUUAUGUUUCUCAAAAUUAAAAUAUAUUUAUGUUACAAGUUAUCCUCACGGAACCCAAUUAAUCCACAAAGGUUGUGGCUUCGCUGGACCCACAAAGGUGCUCCUGGACCAUUUCACCACCCAGCACAAGUGUCCGUCGACAACCCUCCCAGACUCUGGCACGCUGUCUCUCUGCUUACAACCGGGUUUACAUGUUGUGAAGUGCACCGGGAACAGCUACUUUUUCUUGCUCAGCAUGGCAUCAGAGCCUUACGGACAUGCCAUCUCAGCCGUCUGCGUCCAACCAAACAUGACAGGAUCCAAGUUCACAUGUAAUAUGAGUUACGACUGCAUAACGACGGGCUGUUGUGGAAGUACAAGCUGCCACAUAAGGAGCUCUUCACUCUCUGAUGGGCUUCCGACAGUGUAUGACUUAAUACUUCCCAAGGGAAAGGUUUUUGAUGAUGCAAACGGUAUCAUGCUUAGAGCUAGCAUUCAUCAUCAACCUUUAAGCCUCAGCAGAUCUUGUUUUCAAGGAAAUGGCCUGACUCCUGCUUUUCACGAAACGCCCGAUACUUACCAUGAUGUGAUGGUGAUGAGGAGGAUAAUACACCUUUACGUCUCAGCAGAUCCUGUCUUCGAGGAAAGACCCUGA
rnacentral:rRNA from 1 species